AUCAUUUUCAGAGUUUAAAUUGAAAUAUUUAAAUAAAGAUUUAUUUCAUUCAAACUAUAAAUUAAAGUAUGUGUUUUGUUAUUUUAUCAUUUAUGAAGUCUUACAGGUAAAGUAUUUAGUUAUCUUUUGGGUUUACCUGUAGAUUUGUAGUUAUUUAUAGAUCUGGUUAGAUAGUGGUCAUUCUGGAUUGGUCAGGUGAUUUUAGGAGGGAAUUCUAUUCUUGUUUUUCAUGCCCAAGCGUUCUGAUGGGUGUGUAUGUUCUGAGACAUUUUUAGAAGUUUUGGUUUGAUCAGUACUUGAUAUUCCUAGUUUGAAAUAAGUAUGGACUGAGAUUAUUCCAUUACCAGAACACGUACCAUAUUAUUGAGACAGCUGAGUUUUGUAUAUAUACUGUAGCAGACCUUUGCACCUCAUGGGAGGGUCAUAUCUAUAUGUCAUCUUUACCAUAAUGGGCAAUAGUCUACCAUCACAAUAAAACCCACGUAUUAUAAACCAGAUGGAAUGUGUUUGUCUUGUGUAUUUCCACCCGGUUUCAAUGGCGCCCAACGGAAUUGUGAUUACUUGGUGUGACAACGCCCAUUUUUCAUUUCCGGAAACAUCAGUUCCACAGUGAAAAUUCUACGACUUCCUUUUCUGUGUUUACUUCCGGUUGUGAUUUGGUACACGUGAAAAACCACAAGUUUUCCACUGGACAGCUGAUUGAGGUUUGAAAAUAAAACUUUUUGACUUGUUUCAUUCUACAGCAGUUAUAUUUCUUUACAAGUUGACAUGUUCCUGAUAUUCGCGGACAAUUAUUUCCGUUUGUGAAGCUGUAUGAAACAUUUAUUUGCAGUAGUGACAGUCCUAGGAAA